AUUGAACGCUGGCGGCAUGCCUUACACAUGCAAGUCGAACGGUAACAGGUUAAGCUGACGAGUGGCGAACGGGUGAGUAAUAUAUCGGAACGUGCCCAGUAGUGGGGGAUAGCCCGGCGAAAGCCGGAUUAAUACCGCAUACGACCUACGGGUGAAAGGGGGGGAUCGCAAGACCUCUCGCUAUUGGAGCGGCCGAUAUCAGAUUAGGUAGUUGGUGGGGUAAAGGCCUACCAAGCCUGCGAUAUGUAGUUGGUCUGAGAGGACGACCAGCCACACUGGUACUGAGACACGGCCCAGGCUCCUACGGGAGGCAGCAGUGGGGAAUUUUGGACAAUGGGCGCAAGCCUGAUCCAGCAAUGCCGCGUGCAGGAAGAAGGCCUUCGGGUUGUAAACUGCUUUUGUCAGGGAAGAAAUCCUCUGGGUUAAUACCUCGGGGGGAUGACGGUACCUGAAGAAUAAGCACCGGCUAACUACGUGCCAGCCGCCGCAGUAAAAC
rnacentral:rRNA from 1 species